GGGGGUGUAGCUCAGUGGUAGAGCGCAUGCUUUGCAUGUAUGAGGUCCUGGGUUCGAUCCCCAGGCUUCUCCA